CUUUAUUUGGGGAAGUUUAUGUGUCACAUGAGAUAAGUAAAGUCCUUAACAGUGCACAUGCUUACAUUUUAAACAUGUUUUUAGUAUAGGUUAUAUGCAUGAUUAAAAUAAAGCAUGUUUUAUGGUACUGGACCAGUUAUUUCCCAGUGUUUUUAGCAUGUAACUCUUUAAAAACGUCUUGACUGCGAUUCCUUUAGAAUUCAGUCCUACUGAAUUCACUUGAAAUGGGACGGCAGCCAACAAAAGGACGCGAAAGUUGUCUUUUUAUCCCCUUUAAACUGCUUUUAUUUAUGAUGUGGUGGUUUGUAAAAGCGAUCUUGCAGGCAGACACAACACAAACGCCCGGUUUGUUAUUGAAACGUAUCCUGGGAGGUGGGCCCUGUAUGCAGUUACAGUGGGAGAGGUGGAGCCUAAGCCACGCCCAGUCCAGUCACAACUCAAUCACACAAAACAAGUACGUUGCUGUUAUUCUUUUUCUGUUUGUCCACAACUUCUUCUUAGUCAGGCUUUUUAAUACUGAACAUCACCUGUGUCACUCCCAAUAACAGCACGUGUUUAUUGUGGACUGAUUUGCUUUUUUCGGGGUUAAUUUUUGUGUGUUAUCCGAACAUUUCAUUACAGAAGGGAAUGCGGACAUGUCGCUUGUGUUUUUGAUGUUUUCCAUUGUCUUCUUCGGCUCAUCCUCUGGUAUACAAACUGAUGAGGUGUGCUAUGGCAGGAGGUGGCAGUUUCCAUCUAAUUAUACACCCUUACGUUAUACUGGACCGAUAUACUUUACUCAAAGUAAUGGAGGAUCCGUGAAAGUUGUUAUAAACAAUGGGAUGGCAAUAGACGGACGCUUCAGAGUCUCUCUUGGCGCAAUUUAUGUUACAAAUGUGACAGAAAGAGAUGAAGGAAUUUAUUCUGUCUCAUCUGGUGGCCACCAGCGACACAGUGUUGUUGAACUGAAAGUCUUGGAAUGUGCCGAAAAGGUCACAAGGAAUUACUACUAUACGUGGGAGUACUCGAUCCCUAGACGGGCUGAAAUCCUGGAGUUUACUCCCCUUCACAGUCCGGACCAGCCAAAGAUCCUGUGGAAUCGCACAGACUCUCAGAUCAGAGAAAGCAGAGCUGAGGUGAGAAACGGUAAUUGGCAGCUGUCUUACCUCACUCAUGCAGACAGUGGCUACUACAACUUCAGGGAUAAGGACCACUCUGUGUUGGCCAGGGUGCUGCUCAAAGUACAAGAACAAACCAGACACUAUGAAACAAAGUGGAAUGAGUACCUCGUCAUUGAAUACCCUCGGGGUGCUAAGAAGUGGACCAUGACUUUUACACCUGAGGGGAAAAUGGAACCCAAAACACUGAUGGAUGGCAGUCUGAUCAUAAAAGAUAAUCAUUUUUCUGGCAGAAUUCGUGCAGUGAUAGAUGGCAUAGUAAUCGAUCCUGCCGAAAUUGGAGACUCUGGCACCUUUGAGUUCAGAGACCCAGAAGGCAACCUGAUCUUGAGUGCUCAGCUUGAAGUGAUCCCUGAAAUGUUGCCACAGAUUAUAUUUAUGGUUGUGACUGUCUUGAUUGUCAUCUUGGUGAUGGUCUGCUGUUGCUGUUGUUGUAAAAAGUGCUGUAAAAGGGACAAGUCUGCUCCUCAGACUGCAGCCUCACCUGCACCUGCUGUAUAUUAUCAUAAUGAGAAUGAACCUGCAUGCCCAAGCUACUCACAUCCUUCAGCUUUGUCUUAUCAGCCUGUGAAUUCUCAUGUUUCUACACAGCCUUCAGCUACCUCCUCUGAGCCACCGAUGUACCACAAAGUGAAUAUCCAUGAGAGCCCUGCUCAGCCUGAGGUUGCAGUACCUGGAAAGCAGGCUUCCACUCCAGAUCCCUCGGUCGGCCCAGACUUCCUCUUGUCAGACCCAGAGCCGCGAUUUGAACUGAAAGGAUUAGACAUGCCUUUUGCACCAUCUCUUACUUCAGACACAACUAUCUGUGAUGUUUAUAACUCAGACAAACUAAACUUUCUGUAAAUAGCAUGCUGAAAAUUCAGGUAGAGUUCAUUCCACUUUUUCCAUUUUCAUCUUUGCAAAGCUAUUGUCAUACAUGCACAGGAAAAAGGCCAUGCAGACAGAUGUUAAUCGCACUGUGUUGAUACAUUAUCAGUUUUUUAUCUUUCACACCAAGAUGUACUGUUAUAAAAUGUAUGGAUUCCAAUUAUAUUUUUUCAGUUAACAAGAUUGCUUGUAAGUUUGUAAAGUCGUGUCUUGAAAACAGUUUGGUUCUGGGAAAGCUUUGAAUUUUUUUUUUCUUCCUAAUUUAUCCUCAGGUACAAGAACAUAAAUCUCACUCAGUGUUGUCCUCAAAAUGCCCUGUUACAUCUCCAGCAGCUGAAGUGUGAACUACGGAAUCAGGGUUUUAUUAUAUUGUGGAAUAUAAAUGCAUAUGCUGUAAAUUAGAAUUGUUAUUUGCAUGUAGUGUCUACUUUGCUUCUCUCCACGGAGCUAAGGAUAUUUACUGAAUAACAGAUAAUGCAAUCCAGUAUAAUGGCAAAGCAUGUAAUACGCUUUGCCAUUGAUAUCGGACUAGAUAAUGUUGCUAGCUUUAGCUUGUAUGGGUAUUUUCUACCUCUGUCAUGUGCAUUCAGCUCCAUACAUCACUUGUUUGUGGCUUUUAUUGUUGCGUUUUGAGGGAUGUUGGGCAAUUUUUAAAAGUGGCUUUUUAUAUUGUUUAAUUCUCAAAUGCAAUACAAGUAUAACUGUGGUUCUGUAUAUCUUUAAACAGAAGCUUGUAUAAAAGUUUUAUCGGGCAUUGAAAAACAUGUAUUGUUUAUAUAAUAUAUGUAAAAUUCUGAUAGUUGUUUGCAUUGCAUGAAGAUGUCCGAAUAUGGAAUCAGUGUAAUGAUUUGAAAAAGACCUUAAAGAGCUUACAUAAAUUUUUAAACUGUCCCUUUGUCUCGCUCCCUCUUUCUGUCUCACUCUCUCUCUCUAACACACACACACACACACACACACACACACACACACACACACACACACACACACACACGCACACACACGCACACGCGCGCGGACACAGUGGAAUGACAACACCACUACUUCUUACAUUUUAAAAAAUCUAAAUGGAAGAGCCCCUUAAAAUUUGCAUGGAAACUAGAGGGUUAGGCAUUUUUUAACAUUACAAUCAGCAUUACAGUUGUAAUAGCUUCUAAUGCAACUGUAAGUCAUUUAAUUAUAACAGCAUUUGUAUGUUGACAGACAUUUAAAAAAGCUGGUUUUGGAGAGUCUGCUACUAUGCAGCUCUUAUAGCAAGUUGAUGUGCAGAUGUUAAUUCCUGCAGUGGAUGUUCCUUUGCCUACAUGCAUGUAGUUUAAGUAAUUGCUUUGUGUUAUCAUAUUUCGUAGAUAAAUAUAAAUUGGUGUCAUCUGCAUAGCAAUGAAAAUGCAUGUGUUUUCUAAUAAUAUUGCAUGAGGGGAAACAUAUAAUGUAAAAAGUAUUGGUUCUAGGACAGAACUCUGUGGAACUCCAUGAAAAAUUCUUUAACUUACAUUAAUACUACCUGUCUACCUGUUCAUUCCUGGUCCAUUCCUGGUAUAAAGCCUGAGAAUAACUGCUAUGGCAUGGGGUUAAACUUUUCAUCUGAUUAUAUACAUAUUAUUUAUUAUGGACCAGUACAGUUCACUCCAAAUAAAGGAGGCUCCUCAAAAUUUGAGGUAAAUGUUUGGAGGUAAGCUGCUCCACGUGCUGUGUGACCAUGUCUGGUCUUAAUGAGAAUUAAACUAUCCUGCAUCAACCAAUCUGUUUGAUAAUAGAUUUGUUUAGAUAGACUUUUCCACUUGAAGUACUUUUUUCUACUGUUUUUGUACAUAAGUGCUUUCUAUCUAGCAUUCACACUUAUCAUAUCGGUGAGUAACUUGGGGUUCAGUAUCCCAAGAAUCCUUUGGCAUGCUGAUUGUAACAGCCAGGGAUUGAAGCACCAACCUUCUGAUUAGUGGAUGACCUGCUCUACCUCCAGAGCCCUGUUACUUGUGCAUUUCUAAAUACAAGUUCACUCUGUUUUUUGUUGUUGUUUAAAAAAAAAAUAAAAAAUUCUA
ensembl:lncRNA